rnacentral:tRNA from 2 species
CGGGAUGUAGCGCAGUUGGUAGCGUGCAACGUUCGGGACGUUGAGGUCGCAAGUUCGAAUCUUGUCAUCCCGACCA